UACGGAGGGUGCAAGCGUUAUCCGGAUUCACUGGGUUUAAAGGGUGCGUAGGUGGGUUGGUAAGUCAGUGGUGAAAUCUCCGUGCUUAACAUGGAAAUUGCCAUUGAUACUACCGUGUCUUGAAUUUUCUGGAGGUAAGCGGAAUAUGUCAUGUAGCGGUGAAAUGCUUAGAUAUGACAUAGAACACCGAUUGCGAAGGCAGCUUACUACAGGGACAUUGACACUGAGGCACGAAAGCGUGGGGAUCAAACAGG
rnacentral:rRNA from 1 species